rnacentral:rRNA from 1 species
AACGUAGGAGACAAACGUUAUCCGGAGUUACUGGGCGUAAAGGGCGUGUAGGUGGUUUCGUAAGUCUGGCGUGAAAUUUCCCGGCUUAACCGGGAGUGGUCGUCGGAUACUGCGGGACUAGAGGACGGUAGAGGCGUGUAGAAUUCCGGGUGUAGUGGUGAAAUGCGUAGAGAUCCGGAGGAACACCAGUGGCGAAGGCGACACGCUGGGCCGUACCUGACACUGAUGCGCGACAGCAUGGGGAGCAAACAGG